rnacentral:rRNA from 1 species
UUUAAUUCGAAGCAACGCGAAGAACCUUACCAGGUCUUGACAUCCCUUUGGCCGCUCUAGAGAUAGAGUUUUCCUUCGGGACAGAGGUGACAGGUGGUGCAUGGUUGUCGUCAGCUCGUGUCGUGAGAUGUUGGGUUAAGUCCCGCAACGAGCGCAACCCCUAUUGUUAGUUGCCAUCAUUCAGUUGGGCACUCUAGCGAGACUGCCGGUAAUAAACCGGAGGAAGGUGGGGAUGACGUCAAAUCAUCAUGCCCCUUAUGACCUGGGCUACACACGUGCUACAAUGGCUGGUACAACGAGUCGCAAGCCGGUGACGGCAAGCUAAUCUCUUAAAGCCAGUCUCAGUUCGGAUUGUAGGCUGCAACUCGCCUACAUGAAGUCGGAAUCGCUAGUAAUCGCGGAUCAGCACGCCG